rnacentral:lncRNA from 1 species
CAAGAAACUGACAAAGUGAAGCAGAUUCCUGAAGCAGAAUAGGACAGAGAUUGACGUGACAACAAAUGGCACAGGGUUGCAACCUCAAGGUCCCAGUUUUCUCAUCUACAAAUUGAGGAAUGUGAACUAGAGCUACAGUUUGGUGGUUUGUGUUCAUAGCAGGCCUUGACCUCAGUUCAGGAAGCAGGCCCUCCACCUCCAGGUCUGUAGGCCAUUCAGUGUGUGCAUGAGGUGAGGGCGUGUUCAGGAGGUCAAAUUAAGAAACCCAAGAAUACUCCAGAGUUUGGAAAAUGUUUAAAAGAAACAGCCUGAGUUAAGGACCUAGGGUUAGGGUGGAGAGAUAGAGGCACACACACACAGU